rnacentral:rRNA from 1 species
UUGAUCCUGGCUCAGAUUGUACGCUGGCGGCAUGCCUUACACAUGCAAGUCGAACGGCAGCACGGGGGCAACCCUGGUGGCGAGUGGCGAACGGGUGAGUAAUACAUCGGAACGUGUCCUGUAGUGGGGGAUAGCCCGGCGAAAGCCGGAUUAAUACCGCAUACGAUCUACGGAAGAAAGCGGGGGACCGAAAGGCCUCGCGCUAUAGGGGCGGCCGAUGGCAGAUUAGCUAGUUGGUGGGGUAAAGGCCUACCAAGGCGACGAUCUGUAGCUGGUCUGAGAGGACGACCAGCCACACUGGGACUGAGACACGGCCCAGACUCCUACGGGAGGCAGCAGUGGGCGAAUUUUGGACAAUGGGGGAAACCCUGAUCCAGCAAUGCCGCGUGUGUGAAGAAGGCCUUCGGGUUGUAAAGCACUUUUGUCCGGAAAGAAAACCUUCGCUCUAAUACAGUGGGGGGAUGACGGUACCGGAAGAAUAAGCACCGGCUACCA